UGCGGAGGAUCAUUAUCGAGUUUUUGAAACGGGUUGUCGCUGGUCCCGUUCUUAACAGAGUCGGGACAUGUGCACACCUGGCUUCAUUCCACUCUUCAACCCCUGUGCACUUGUUGUAGGUUUUAGGUCGGACGCGGGGCUUUUGACUUCAUCGUCGAGAGCCUCAAGGAAAGCCUGAGCCUAUGUUUUACCAUACACACGCUUCAGUUAUAGAAUGUAAACAUCGCGUAUAACGCAUUUUAAAUACAACUUUCAGCAACGGAUCUCUUGGCUCUCGCAUCGAUGAAGAACGCAACGAAAUGCGAUAAGUAAUGUGAAUUGCAAAAUUCAGUGAAUCAUCGAAUCUUUGAACGCACCUUGCGCUCCUUGGUAUUCCGAGGAGCAUGCCUGUUUGAGUGUCAUGGAAUUCUCAACCUUUGAAAGCUUUUAUCGGUUCUCAAAGGCUUGGACUUGGAGGUCGUGUCGGCUUCUGCAAAGAAUCGACUCCUCUGAAACGUAUCAGUGCGAACCUUUACGGAUCGUCUUCGGUGUGAUAAACGUCUACGCCGUGGUCGUGAAGUAUGAUCGUGUCCGUGCUUCUAACCGUCUCCUUUGCGAGACAAAAACUGUGUUACUAUAAGUAACAUAGGCAUUGACAAUCUGACCUCAAAUCAGGUAGGACUACCCGCUGAACUUAAGCAUAUCAAUAA
rnacentral:rRNA from 1 species